rnacentral:rRNA from 1 species
GAGUUUGAUCCUGGCUCAGAUUGAACGCUGGCGGCAUGCCUUACACAUGCAAGUCGAACGGCAGCACGGGAGCUUGCUCCUGGUGGGCGAGUGGCGAACGGGUGAGUAAUGCAUCGGAACGUAUCCUGGAGUGGGGGAUAACGUAGCGAAAGUUACGCUAAUACCGCAUAUUCUGUGAGCAGGAAAGCGGGGGACCUUCGGGCCUCGCGCUCUUGGAGCGGCCGAUGUCGGAUUAGCUAGUUGGUGAGGUAAAGGCUCACCAAGGCGACGAUCCGUAGCAGGUCUGAGAGGAUGAUCUGCCACACUGGAACUGAGACACGGUCAGACUCCUACGGGAGGCAGCAGUGGGGAAUUUUGGACAAUGGGGGCAACCCUGAUCCAGCCAUGCCGCGUGAGUGAAGAAGGCCU